rnacentral:rRNA from 1 species
CGAAGGAUGCAAGCGUUAUCCGGAUUCAUUGGGUUUAAAGGGAGCGUAGGUGGCCUUAUAAGUCAGCGGUGAAAUCUCUGGGCUUAACCCAGAAAUUGCCAUUGAUACUGUAGGGCUUGAGUACAGUUGCUGUGGGCGGAAUAUGACAUGUAGUGGUGAAAUACAUAGAGAUGUCAUAGAACACCGAUUGCGAAGGCAGCUCACAAAACUGUAACUGACACUGAGGCUCGAAAGUGCGGGGAUCAAACAGGAUUAGAUACCCUGGUAGUCCGCACUGUAAACGAUGAUUACUCGCUGCUAGAGGGCAACUUUUAGUGGCUUAGCGAAAGCGAUAAGUAAUCCACCUGGGGAGUACGCCGGCAACGGUG